rnacentral:rRNA from 1 species
AACGUAGGUACCGAGCGUUAUCCGGAUUUACUGGGCGUAAAGCGCGUUCAGGCGGUUUGGCAAGUCGGGCAUGAAAUCUCUCGGCUCAACCGGGAGAGGUUGUCCGAUACUUCCAGACUUGAGGGCAGUAGAGGGUGGUGGAAUUCCGGGUGUAGUGGUGAAAUGCGUAGAUAUCCGGAGGAACACCAGUGGCGAAAGCGGCCACCUGGACCAUUACUGACGCUGAGGCACGAAAGCUAGGGGAGCAAACAGG